rnacentral:rRNA from 1 species
UACGAAGGGGGCUAGCGUUGCUCGGAAUCACUGGGCGUAAAGCGCACGUAGGCGGCUUUGUAAGUCAGAGGUGAAAGCCUGGAGCUCAACUCCAGAACUGCCUUUGAGACUGCAUCGCUUGAAUCCAGGAGAGGUGAGUGGAAUUCCGAGUGUAGAGGUGAAAAUUCGUAGAUAUUCGGAAAGAACACCAGUGGCGAAGGCGGCUCACUGGACUGGUAUUGACGCUGAGGUGCGAAAGCGUGGGGAGCAACAGGG